ensembl:misc_RNA 7SK 7SK RNA
GGAUGUGAGGGCGAUCUGGCUGCGACAUCUGUCACCCCAUUGAUCACUAGGGCUGAUUCGGCUGAUCUGGCUGACUAGGCGGAUGUCUCCUUCCUCCCUCACCGCUCCAUGUGCGUCCUUCCGGAAGCUGUGUGCUCAGUGGAAGAGAACGGCCUUCCCCGAAUGGAGACAGAACCAGUCUUAGGUAGCUGUGCUCCCCUGCUAGAACCUCCAAACAAGCUCUCAAGGAUAAAAAAGCUAUCAGGGGAGGGGAGGGGAUAUGGAGUUGUGGUGGUGGGAAUUGUGUGGAGUUGUACCCCUCUUAUC